GUAGGAGGUAGCAGAAUGGAGCCAGCCCACCCCUUUCCAGACGUUUCUAGGCCCUCCUGCUCAAACCUCUUUUGUAGGCACCGGUGACCUGAUUCUGAGGUCCCCAGGAGAUGGAUCACCUGAUGACAUGAGAAUGUCUUGUUUUUGGAAAGCCUGGUCAUGCAAUUUAGCAGAAGGUUUGCGGUGAGGUGGAAGGCAUUUAUUUGCUUUGUCUUGCUAACCCUCAAAAUCAAAGCCUGUCCCAGCCUGACAGCUUCCAGCAGAAAGUGUCAGAACCAGAGGCCCAGCCAAGGCCCAGGCAGGGCAGGCGGUCCUGCUGGGCCCUGGCAUUGUUCUUACAAAUGGAGGGCAUGGCCGUCUUCUUUUUCAGGGACACGCUGGCCUGACAUGGAAGGUGAAACAGGGCAGCAGCCCCUGCCUCCAGGAGAACUCUGCAGACUGCAGUGCCAGGGAGCUGAGGGGUCCUGGGAAGGAGCUAUGGAAUCCUGUCCAGCAGGAUGGCUACAAAGAGAUCUUAUUUUAAAAGCAGCUGAUGGUUUGGAAAUGAGAGAACUACAG
rnacentral:sRNA from 1 species